rnacentral:lncRNA from 1 species
ACUAAGUUAUUUCUUUGGCUGACAGUUUCACUAAUGAGUUAGAAAGGUCAUUUGUAAUCUGCUACUGAAGAAAUAUGUCCCUGGCGUAUCAUAGGUGCUUUAAAGUUAUUUAUUGAAUGUGUUUUUGAAUCAAAGAGUGAAUGAAUAAACUUCGCUUUGAAUCUGUUUAUUCAGAAGGGAAAACAAAUGAACAUAUUCUCAGAAAUAGAAGACAGGAGGG